ACAGACCUCACAACCUCUGAGGAUGCCUGCCAUAGAUGUGGGCGAAACGUCAGGAGAGAAUGCUUCUGGAACAUAGCCAUACAGCCCGGAAAACUCACAGCAACCAAGUGAUUCCGGCCAUGAGAGCCUUUGACAACACAUCAAAGAGUACAGUGUUUUAGGAAACUUCAAAAUAUGGUUUAUUUAUUUGUCUGCCUAUUGUCUAUACAGUAUCCCAUUCUUUCCUUAGUGAAUUCAGAGCAGUGUACACAAGGGUUAUCACAAUGAAUACAACAAGCUGGCUAUGUAGGUUAGGCAAAUUGAUAGAUGAAUCGGAAGUGGAUCUAUAUCUCUGAAAGAACUCUAUGCAUGACAAAGCCAUAAAAAUAAAUCCUAAACAUGCUUACAUGGAUGACUGUCUGUCUGUCAGGACUGCUUUGCACAUUCCUACUUCACAGAGCGGGUUGAGCUAAUGGCCCUUGUAGUAUGAUUCUAUGAUGCUAUAUGGAAGCAAAUCUUGCUUGAUCAAGACAACUUAAAUUCCAUACAAAUCUUAUUAGAGAAAGAUGUGGUUUUGGUUUAUAAAAUUCUUAAUUAGCAGCAUGUUUUGUGCACUGACAUCUGAUCAACACCAGAGGGCAUAAAAUACUCUUUAAGGAACCAAAUCACAGAACCUUAAACCCAUAAUCAUGACUGGUAUAGGAACCAUGCCAUGACAGAUUCACAAUAUGAUUUCCCCUGUCUUGCAUAAAAGAAUACGUUAUAACUAUGGCAGUCUUUGAAUCAGAGGAAUCUGUCCUCUUCCAUAUUGAGGGUCAAACUGAAAAUAAUCUAGGGUCAUACUCCAAUUAUUAUCAAUUUUUUCAAUAUGAUUUUUUUCCAUAUGAAUGCUGCCAGAGACUUCCCUUCCAGAAAGAGGAGCAGUAGGUUCCAAGAAUGCAAUAUUGAAAUUUAAGAUACCAAAAGCAACUUAGGUGGCUGACAAACAACAGAAAUACCACAUUAGGAAAAAGAUAACGAAAUCUAAAUAGCUGCAUAUACUUAUAGAAACAUUAGAAGAGAUAGAAAUAAAGUUGGAAAAGACCAAAAGGUCCAUCCCAUCCAACCUCCUGACACUCAGGAAUAAACAUUCAAAGCACUCCUGAGAUAUGACCAUCCAGCCUCUGGUCAAAAAACCUCCAGGGGAGACUCCACCAUACACCAAGGCAGGAUAUUCCACUUCCAAACACAUUUUACUAUCAAGAGGUUUUUCCUAAUGUUUAGGUGGAAUCUCUUUUCCUGAAGUUUGAAUUCAUUGAUCCAUGUCCUAGUCUCUAAAACAGCAGAAAACAAGACUGCUCCCUCUUCAAUAUGACAUCCUUUCUAAUAUUUAAACAUGUCUAUCAUGACACCUCUUAACCUUUACUUCUCCAGGCUGAACAUACUCAGCUUCAUAAGCUGUUCCUCUUAGGGCUUUAGUUUCCAGACCUUUUACCAUGUUAGUCUCAGCUUGUCAAUAUCCUUCUUGAAUUGUGGUAUCCAGAACUGGACACAGCAUUCUAAGUGAGAUCUGGUUGACCCUGGGUGAGUCACAGACUCUCGGUCCCAUAAACCCGUGAUAGGAUUACCCUAGGAUCACUGUAAAUUGGAAAUUACUUGGAAGACACACAACAUCAAUUUGCCUUAACUAUAACAAGAUGAAUAAUAUGCAUCCUCUGGAACACAGGGAGGCAUCUCACAACCAGCUGGACUACUGCUCCAAUAAAGCUAACACAAACAAGGUUUCGUGCACAAUUUUUCCCCAGUCCAAAUUGAAAAAAAGCAGGGACUGAACUUGGUCCCUGAUGCAUGUGCUGCACCACCAAGCCACACGCUCUUCCAAUGUUUCACUUGCAUUUGCCUUAUAAAUAGUUCCUUAUUUUCACAUGCAGCAAGCUAAUGAUCACGACAUGCUGCCAUGCUGCUGCCCUGAGAUGGAACAGCCAAUGAAUAGCAGUGUUCUGAGGCACACCCACUGCACAGAAAGACAAGCUUUCGGGUAAUAGUUUGGACCUCCGUCGUCUUUUUGACGGACAUUAUUGCCAACUCUGGAUUGACGCUGGACUGACUGACUGACUACGACUCUGGACUAACCCUUCUGUGGCUAUCGGUGGAACUUGUGGAACCUUAGAUGUCUGCGUUUGGCUUUCGACCUCGGACCGGAUUGGGACCCCGCUGACCGUCGUUACCCUGAUUGAUGUGCCUGGACCUGGUUUUCGCCCGUUGCACGGAGGAGCAACAGCCCGAGUUACUUCUGUAGCUCUUGAGUAGCAGAGGGGAAUCUGCUGCUGAGUUUUGUGUUCAUUUUGACCUUUUGUUAACCAGUUUUUGUUUGUUUAAUUGCCAGGCUGAAGUAAGCACCUUUGAUUUAACCCGGAUUAAACUUCUGUUUAAUCCGGUUUAUUCUUUUGAACUGUUUAAACUCAAACGAAGCUAUUUUUGUUACUUUUCAUACUGAAGACAAGUGUUUGCCUAGUCUUUUGUUUCCUACGGGCAAUUUUUAGUUCUGUAACCUCAAUAAACUGUGUUGUAUUCUA